rnacentral:rRNA from 1 species
GGGAUGACGUCAAAUCAUCAUGCCCCUUAUGACCUGGGCUACACACGUGCUACAAUGGGAAGUACAACGAGUCGCUAGACCGCGAGGUCAUGCAAAUCUCUUAAAGCUUCUCUCAGUUCGGAUUGCAGGCUGCAACUCGCCUGCAUGAAGCCGGAAUCGCUAGUAAUCGCGGAUCAGCACGCCGCGGUGAAUACGUUCC